rnacentral:rRNA from 1 species
AAUGAACGCUGGCGGCAUGCCUAACACAUGCAAGUCGAACGAAGGCUUCGGCCUUAGUGGCGCACGGGUGCGUAACGCGUGGGGAUCUGCCCUCAGGUUCGGAAUAACAGCGAGAAAUUGCUGCUAAUACCGGAUGAUAUCGCGAGAUCAAAGAUUUAUCGCCUGAGGAUGAGCCCGCGUAGGAUUAGCUAGGUGGUGUGGUAAAGGCGCACCAAGGCGACGAACCUUAGCUGGUCUGAGAGGAUGAUCAGCCACACUGGGGCUGAGACACGGCCCAGACUCCUACGGGAGGCAGCAGUGGGGAAUAUUGGACAAUGGGCGAAAGCCUGAUCCAGCAAUGCCGCGUGAGUGAUGAAGGCCUUAGGGUUGUAAAGCUCUUUUACCCGGGAUGAUAAUGACAGUACCGGGAGAAUAAGCUCCGGCUAACUCCGUGCCAGCCGCCGCCGUAA